rnacentral:rRNA from 1 species
AUUGAACGCUGGCGGCAGGCUUAACACAUGCAAGUCGAGCGAGCGGCGGACGGGUGAGUAAUGUCUGGGAAACUGCCCGAUGGAGGGGGAUAACUACUGGAAACGGUAGCUAAUACCGCAUACCAUCAGAUGUGCCCAGAUGGGAUUAGCUAGUGGGUGGGGUAAUGGCUCACCAAGGCGACGAUCCCUAGCUGGUCUGAGAGGAUGAUCAGCCACACUGGGGCUGAGACACGGCCCAGACGCCUACGGGAGGCAGCAGUGGGGAAUAUUGCACAAUGGGCGCAAGCCUGAUGCAGCCAUGCCGCGUGUAUGAAGAAGGCCUUAGGGUUGUAAAGUACUUUCAGCGGGUAGGCGUUACCCGCAGAAGAAGCACCGGCUAACUCCGUGCCAGCCGCCGCGGUAAUUC